rnacentral:lncRNA from 1 species
GGAAAUUGAACGCGGCCCGAAUGGUGGGAUCCACAACCUUCAACUUUCUUCCCAACGAAGUAGUCGGUGUUGCUUUUCUAUCAAAUGUCGACAACUUGACAACUUCUCCUAGGAGGUUAUUGGCUCCCUGUUCAAUACAGAAAGAAUCUCUCCAUCUUCCCCAAUAUAUACUCACCCGCUCGCUCCCUCUCUCAUCAAACCCAAUCCCUCACCCACCUCUCGUCUAUGUCAAAGAAGAAAAACUGCCCCUCAUCGGUCGAUGAUCCUGCCGAUCCUUCCUCUGUCAGUAAGAACAGUAAACACCUCUCCUCCCUUUCAAUUUCAAACCUCCUGAACUCGUCUCGAAUCAGGUAGCGAAAGAAGAACAAGGGAGGCCUCGUGCCUUUCUUCCCUGUUUUAGGAAGAGGAAUGAAUUACAACAUCCCAUCGGGUGAGUCAAAUUUUACUUGUACUGCAACAUUUGAAUUUUCAUUUUUACGCCCUCGAUCUCCUUCUCUAACUGUCAUUUUGUUUUCUUAGUUAUGCUAAAUCCAAUCGCGGGGUGUUGUGUACACCGGAAGCUGGAUACGGCUUCCAUCCAACCAAUGAAGAAUUAGAUAAUUAUUUAUAAUUAUCUAAUUCUCAUUGAUUGAUAUAUAUCCGACCAAUGAAGAAUUAAACAAUUAAUUAUAAUUUUAUAAUAAAUAAAAACUUAGUUAUUAUUGUAGAAUAAAUAUUCAUGGUGUAAUCUAAUAGUCGAAAUAUCUUACUUUGUAUUUACUACAUUACACUGUCAUGCAACUUGCAAUUUUAGUGGAUUCUGUCAUCGUGACAUUUGCUUAAUUUUUCUUUUGAAAACUUGUUCCCUUCCUUGAGUUUAUUAGAAUGACACUUGAAUUAAAACAUUAAUUUUAAUGUAUGGUAUUGUUGAUAGUUUUAUUGCUCUGCAAAAAGAAAAGCAAAUCUCACUGUCAUCACACUAAAGUUUCAUGCUGGCAAGUGCAAAAAAAGAAGAAAAAAGAAUAU